UGGCCAGUGCCAGUCAUUCUUUAUUUAAUUAGCAAUUGUGCGCCCAGUUUUCCCAUGUUGGUUUACUUGCAAAACUCAAGUGCAGACGUAGUAUCUUUCGCUUAUGAGAGUCUUACAUGAUCUCAUAAGCACGAGGGGUAAACCAAAACUUUGCUCUGUUUAAACAAAUAAACGGUGUUAGCCUCGACAAGAUGGGCCCUCACAAAAUGCAACUUCUAAGAUGGCUCAAAGGGAACUAAAGGGCGCUGAUGCCGAAAGGUGUGCAUCGCUUUCUUACCAGCGGCUGUAAAUUAUUAAUAGGAAAGCUACUGGGUAUUCCGUAUAUAGAUUCCGAGAAACACACUUGUUC